AUUGAACGCUGGCGGCAUGCUUUACACAUGCAAGUCGAACGGUAACAGGGUGCUUGCACCGCUGACGAGUGGCGAACGGGUGAGUAAUACAUCGGAAUGUACCCAGUAAUGGGGGAUAACGCUUCGAAAGGAGUGCUAAUACCGCAUACGCCCUGAGGGGGAAAGUGGGGGACCGGAAGGCCCCCCGUUAUUGGAGCAGCCGAGGGCUGAUUAGCUAGUUGGUGAGGUAAAGGCUCACCAAGGCGACGAUCAGUAGCGGGUCUUAGAGGACGCUCCGCCACACUGGAACUGAGACACGGUCCAGACUCCUACGGGAGGCAGCAGUGGGGAAUCUUGGACAAUGGGCGAAAGCCUGAUCCAGCAAUGCCGCGUGCGUGAAGAAGGCCUUCGGGUUGUAAAGCGCUUUUGUCUGGGAGCAAAUCCUGGCCUCUAAUACAGGUCGGGGAUGAGAGUACCAGAAGAAUAAGGACCGGCUAACUACGUGCCAGCCGCCGCGGUAAGAC
rnacentral:rRNA from 1 species